rnacentral:sRNA from 1 species
UAGUUGAGUUCGCCGAAAAUCUACAUU